UACAGAGGUCUCAAGCGUUGUCCGGAAUCAUUGGGCGUAAAGCGCGCGUAGGCGGCCCUGUAAGUCCGUUGUGAAAGUCAAAGGCUCAACCUUUGAAAGCCGAUGGAUACUGCAGGGCUAGAGUCCGGAAGAGGCGAGUGGAAUUCCUGGUGUAGCGGUGGAAUGCGCAGAUAUCAGGAGGAACACCCAUAGCGAAGGCAGCUCGCUGGGACGGUACUGACGCUAAGGCGCGAAAGCGUGGGGAGCGAACAGG
rnacentral:rRNA from 1 species